GACGAACGCUGGCGGCGUGCUUAACACAUGCAAGUCGAACGGAAAGGCCCUGCUUUUGUGGGGUGCUCGAGUGGCGAACGGGUGAGUAACACGUGAGUAACCUGCCCUUGACUUUGGGACAACUUCAGGAAACUGGGGCUAAUACCGGAUAGGAGCUCCUGCUGCAUGGUGGGGGUUGGAAAGUUUCGGCGGUUGGGGAUGGACUCGCGGCUUAUCAGCUUGUUGGUGGGGUAGUGGCUUACCAAGGCUUUGACGGGUAGCCGGCCUGAGAGGGUGACCGGCCACAUUGGGACUGAGAUACGGCCCAGCCUCCUACGGGAGGAAGCAGUGGGGAAUAUUGCAAAAUGGGCGGAAGCCUGAUGCAGCAACGCCGCGUGCGGGAUGACGGCCUUCGGGUUGUAACCCGCUUUCGCCUGUGACGAAGCGUGAGUGACGGUAAUGGGUAAAGAAGCACCGGCUAACUACGUG
rnacentral:rRNA from 1 species